GGCAGCACCGGCUCCUCCCACGACGCUGCGGGUCCGGUUUCCGGCGGGAGAGCGGGCUGCCAUACCCGGGAAAGGGUCCCGCUUGUGCUAGGGACUUGUGGGCUGUCUGCACUGGCCACUGCGGGGUGCCCGCCAGAAUGCCCCACUUGGAAAACGUGGUGCUUUGUCGCGAGUCUCAAGUGUCCACCUUGCAGUCCUUGUUUGGAGAGAGACAUCAUUUUAGCUUUCCAUCCAUUUUUAUUUAUGGACAUACUGCCAGUGGAAAGACCUAUGUAACACAAACGUUGUUGAAAACUUUAGAGCUCCCACAUGUCUUUGUGAAUUGCGUUGAAUGCUUUACCUUGAGGCUGCUUUUGGAACAAAUUUUAAACAAAUUGAAUCAUCUUAGUUCUUCAGAGGAUGGAUGUUCUACUGAAAUAACCUGUGAAACAUUUAAUGAUUUUGUUCGCUUGUUUAAACAAGUAACCGCAGCUGAAAAUCUCAAGGAUCAGACUGUAUAUAUUGUUCUAGAUAAAGCAGAGUAUCUAAGAGAUAUGGAAGCAAAUCUUUUGCCUGGAUUUCUUAGAUUACAAGAAUUGGCUGACAGAAAUGUGACUGUUCUCUUUCUCAGUGAAAUUGUUUGGGAAAAGUUUCGUCCAAAUACUGGAUGCUUUGAGCCAUUUGUCUUGUAUUUCCCUGAUUACAGCAUAGGCAACCUUCAAAAGAUCCUGUCCCAUGAUCAUCCUCCAGAGUAUUCAGCUGAUUUCUAUGCUGCCUACAUUAACAUUCUUCUUGGAGUUUUCUACACUGUUUGUCGAGAUUUGAAAGAGCUCAGACAUCUGGCAGUACUUAAUUUUCCUAAAUAUUGUGAACCUGUGGUUAAAGGAGAAGCAAGUGAACGUGAUACUCGCAAACUGUGGAGAAAUAUUGAACCUCAUUUGAAGAAAGCCAUGCAGACUGUUUAUCUCAGGGAAGUAUCAAGUUCCCAAUGGGAAAAGCUACAGAAAGAUGACACAGAUCCCGGGCAACUGAAAGGCCUCUCAGCGCAUACUCAUGUGGAACUUCCAUAUUACUCUAAGUUCAUUCUAAUUGCUGCAUACCUUGCUUCAUACAAUCCAGCAAGAACUGACAAGAGGUUUUUUCUUAAGCAUCAUGGAAAAAUCAAGAAAACCAACUUUCUAAAAAAACACGAAAAGACGAGCAAUCAUCUCCUUGGACCAAAACCAUUUCCACUAGACAGAUUAUUAGCAAUAUUAUACAGUAUCGUGGACAGCAGAGUUGCUCCAACAGCAAAUAUUUUUUCCCAGAAUGGAAUACAUGCAACAUUAUCUUGGAUAAAGAGAAUACAGAAAUGAAGAUGUGUCUGUGGAUUCCACAGCCCUUCAUUUGUACUGGUACAGCCACCAGAUUCUAUUUUAUACGUUUAGAAUUAAUGGUGUAUAUAUGUAUUUACUGUGAGGACAUAUAUAUGCUGAAGGAACUAAUACUUAAGUGAAUACUAAUAAGUACUUAAAGUGAAUAGUUUUUACUUAAGUAGUUCUUAAUAUUUGAUAACUUAGAUAUUUAAGUGUCUUCUACUGAGUCAUAACAAACCUGUUUGUUGAAUAUUUCCUUCUGACAUGUCUUGAACUUAGUGUUUGAAGCAAUGAUUGUUUGAUAUUUAUAACUAAAUUUUGUUAAUACCCAAUUAAAUUUAGUUAUGAUGUUGGUGUCAGACAAUCUCAAGACUUGGAACUUAAGUUAUGGACAAGUAAUCAAUAUUUUAUAUAUGGUCUAGUAUAUACAGUCUGAGUAGCUUUUCUUAAAAAGUUACAUGGCUAUAUUUGAAAUAUUCAUAAUAGAAAAUUGUACUCAUGUCCUUUUUUAAUAUACAUUAUUUCAAACUACUUUUAUAGAUUUUUAACCAAAAGCACUUUAAAUAAAUUUUAUGAAGACUUUAUCAUUAUCAAAUGUCUUUACCUUGAAAGUUAAUUUGCAUAUUACAUAACAUUUUGUUUAUAUUUCUACAAAAAGUAGCUAUAUUCAUGAAACGCUAGUCAGAUAACACUAGAAAUCUAGUAGAUAAAAAUAUCUAAUCUAUUUAUUAAUCAGAUGACAAUUUGAAUCUUAUAAACAUAAAGAGUAACAUCCUAAAAUCUAGCUGUAAGAUAUUUAUAUAAAUUGAUUUCAGUGUGGGCAUUAUCUUUAUAGACAUUAAACUUGGUGACUAAAAGUGACAGUUUUCCUUAAAAUUCCAUGGAUACUAAAGUAUUAGAAAUGUGAAGAGCUCUUCCUUUGCAAUUUCUCUGCAUUUCGUUUGUCCUGUACGAACAUUCCAGUGUUUCUGUAAUAUUUGACUGUAAUACUUGAUGCUAUUAAGGUAAAUUAUGUAAAUCAUAGAAAAUAGCUUGAAUGCUAACAUUUCCUAAUAAUCUUACUAUGUUUUUUUCUUAACAACAACUGAGAUUGUGAGGCAUUCCAUUCCAAGGAUGGUAAAGGAGCCUUACUUAAUGCCUACUUCGCUGAUGAAUAGGUCAGCAGGGAUGCUGUUUGAUAGAAGCCGGCUCUUUUCUAGAUGCUAAGAGCGUCACCGCCGUGAUGCUCAGUCUCCACUGGUGCGCAAUACUUACUCUCCCCAGAAGACUUCUGGAUCCCUUGGCUGUCCAUCCUGUUCUGUGUCUCUUCUCUUCAUAAUACAGAUUACCUCUCUAGUGACCCUUCAGCUGUUAACCCUGGUUGGCCAUGACGAUCAGCUUGAUGGACCAAAAUAUAAAUGCACAGUGUCUCUAGACUUCAUCAGAGCUAUUGCAAGGACGGUGAACUUUGACAUAAUAAAAUACUUGUAUGAUUUCUUGUGAAAACAAGCUUCAGAGCCAUAUGGACACUGUGACAAUGACUAAGCCAAGCUGUGUUCAUCCAACUACUUAGCUGGCCAAGGAGAGGAGUUCUUUGGCUCUACUGGAUUUGUCCAAACAGGUGCUGGCCCAGCAUGGAAUCUGAUGAAAAUAUUCUGAUUGGUCUGGGUGGAUGUGAGCAGAAGACUAUUUACCAGGGACCCUGGAGUAUUUGGAAGCAACGUGUUAAUUAUAAACAGCAGGGUUUGAGCACAAUCUGUUCUACUCUUAAUGAUGUUAUCUUAACACUGAAAUUGCCUGAAACCCAUUUACUUAGGACUACAUUUUGCUCUGUGAACUAUCCCCUGCGCUUUGAACGUGCCAGCAGCCCUUGUUUAUAUGCCCAUUCUUUUCACUUCCUCUCCACAGGAGCCUCUGCAGUCGCUUGCCAAAGCAGAUUUUCCUAAGGCCACUGUUUUAAAAGGAUCAUAGUUGCAAAAUAUAAUAAAUACAAGCUUUUUAAAAUCCAA